AUGGAUGACAACCUUAAGGCCGUCUUCUGGAACGUGCGUGGCCUUAAUAGCGGGGCCAAAUGCGUGGCCGUUUGCUCUGUAAUCUCAUCGGCAUCCCCAUGUAUCGUUUGCAUCCAGUAAUCUAAACUUGCUUCAGUCUCGCCCGCGAUUGUGUGUGAAACUCUCGGCCCUUCCUUUGACGGUUUCUUCCGGCUACCUGCGGAUGGCACCCGCGGUGGCAUCAUUCUAGCCUGGAACAACAUGGUGAUUUCCCUCUCUAACCCGCACGGCGACCACCAUGUCUCUGCCGUGGUGUCCCCCACUGCUGGAGGAGCGCACUGGUGGAUCACAGGCAUGUACGGCCCC
rnacentral:rRNA from 1 species